CUUCUUUUUCUUUUUGUUGCCGCCUGACGGCGGAACGAAUGAUUGGUGGAAGGUGAAAGGGAAAAUAUGAGGAAUAAGAUAAGAGAAAUAAGUCGAGGAGUAAACGAUGGUGUAGCGAACGAGAGCAGGAAACUGGCUGUGGUGUGUCGUGGUGUGUCACGGCUGCUCGGUGUUGAAAGUGCCAAGCCAGCAUUUCGGCAUCGUCUCGAUAGCAAACGAAGAACAGUUGAAUGCUCUCGCUGACUCUAGGGGCAGGGUUGACGCAUCCACACACGUGCAUUUUUUUUAUAAUUCGACAUGUAUGAUGGGGCGCUCGGGGCGCUGUAGGAGGCGAGGAAGAGGGAGACAGCUAACAGUAACGGUGAAGGGAAGACGUCCCUUCUCGGCCUCGCUGUCUGCCUCUGUAGAGCUCCACGAGCUCCAUCCAAAAGAGAACCCACAAGUGAUUAAUAGACCCCGACACGUGAGUUAUAGUUGUGUCUUUCUGAAUGAUAUAUCUGAUGUGCGGGUUAAAUGACGAGUUUAUUGUUCUUCUGAUAUAUUAAUCGAGUCAACGUGAAGGUCUUCUUAUUUACCACCUUACCGCCUCCACGGGCUCGCGGGGCGGUGGUGGUAACACUUUUUGUUAAAUAGGUAGUUAGAGUUAGGUAAUUUUACUGUAUUAUUUAUUAAUUAUUUAUUUUGUUUAUUUAAUUUUGUUUUAUUUUAUUUUGUAUUUUUGUUUCUCUUCUUUUUUCUUUCUUUUUCUUUUUCUUUCGUGUUUUCUUGCUGUUAUUUUCUUUAUUGAUGUUUCUCGUUGAUGUUCUUUUUUCCAUAUCAUCCUCUUUGUUGAUGUUCUUCGAUGGUCUGGGUGCGCCGCUUUCCUCCCAGAAGAGACCCACCCAUGAUUUUGAUGAUGUUACUGAGGGCCGAAAGGUGGAUGAUGUUCCUUCUAUUUUUGUUGUUCUUUUUCUUGAUGUUUUUCUUUUUCGAUAUUUUUUUCUGUUCUUUUUCUUUCUUUCUUGAUGUUCUUUUUUAUAUCAUUCUUUUGUUGAUGUUAUUCGAUGGUCUGGGAGCGCCUCUUUCCUCCCAGAAGAGACCCACCCAUGAUUUUGUUGAUGUUACUGAGGGCCGAAAGGUGGAUGAUGUUUGUUAUAUUGUUCUGUUCUUGAUGUCGUGGUUUUCUUGUUCUUUUUCUUGGUGUUUUUCUUUUUCGAUAUUUUUUCUUUUCUAUUUCUCUUUUUCAUCCUUUCUUGAUGUUUUUUCUCCAUCAUCCUUUUCUUGAUGUUUUUUGAUGGUCUGAAUGGGCCUCUUUCCUCCCAGAAGAGACCCACCCAUAAUUUUGGUGAUGUUAGUCAGGGCCGAGAGGUGGAUGAUGUUUCUUUGUAUUUUUCUUUUCUUGAUGUUGUUCUUUUAUUGCUGUUACUUUUCUUUUUCGAUGUUUUUUUCUCUUCUCUUUUCUUUUCUAUAUUUUUUGGUGUUCUUUUCUAUAUCAUCCCUUUUGAUGUUCUUUGGUCUGGAUGAGCCUUUUUCUCCCCAGAAAAGACCCACCCAUAUUUUUGGUGAUGUUGCUUAGGGCCGAAAGGUGGAUGAUGUUCUUUGUAUUUUUCUUGUUCUUUUUCUUUGUUUUUCUUUUUCGAUAUUUUUUUCCGUUCUUUUUCUCUUUUUCUUUCUUUCUUGAUGUUCUUUUCAAUAUCAUCCCUUUUUGAUGUUCUUUGGUCUGGAUGAGCCUUUUUCUCCCCAGAAAAGACCCACCCAUAAUUUUGGUGAUGUUACUUUGGGCCGAAAGGUGGAUGAUGUGUAUUUGUUUUUCUUUUCUUGAUGUUUCGUUUCUAUAUUUUCCUUUUCUGGUGUUCUUUUUCAUUUUAAUUUUCUUUGGUGUUCCCAAAACGUGAAUUGUCUACGACAUCUAACGGGCACCACAAGCCCGGGUUUGUUGUUCGGAGUUUGCUCUCCUAGGUGAAUUGCCUACCACGGCUAACGACCUCCACCUGCCCGGGUUUGUUGUUCGGAGUUUGCUCUCCUAGGUGAAUUGCCUACCACGGCUAACGACCUCCACCUGCCCGGGUUUGUUGUUCGGAGUUUGCUCUCCUAGGUGAAUUGCCUACCACGGCUAACGACCUCCACCUGCCCGGGUUUGUUGUUCGGAGUUUGCUCUCCUAGGUGAAUUGCCUACCACGGCUAACGACCUCCACCUGCCCGGGUUUGUUGUUCGGAGUUUGCUCUCCUAGGUGAAUUGCCUACCACGGCUAACGACCUCCACCUGCCCGGGUUUGUUGUUCGGAGUUUGCUCUCCUAGGUGAAUUGCCUACCACGGCUAACGACCUCCACCUGCCCGGGUUUGUUUAGAGUUUGCUCUCCUAGGUGAAUUGCCUACCACGGCUAACGACCUCCACCUGCCCGGGUUUGUUUAGAGUUUGCUCUCCUAGGUGAAUUGCCUACCACGGCUAACGACCUCCACCUGCCCGGGUUUGUUUAGAGUUUGCUCUCCUAGGUGAAUUGCCUACCACGGCUAACGACCUCCACCUGCCCGGGUUUGUUGUUCGGAGUUUGCUCUCCUAGGUGAAUUGCCUACCAUGGCUAACGACCUCCACCUGCCCGGGUUUGUUUAGAGUUUGCUCUCCUAGGUGAAUUGCCUACCAUGGCUAACGACCUCCACCUGCCCGGGUUUGUUUAGAGUUUGCUCUCCUAGACAGAUUGCCUACCACGGCUAACGACCUCCACCUGCCCGGGUUUGUUUAGAGUUUGCUCUCCUAGACAGAUUGCCUACCACGGCUAACGAUCUCCACCUGCCCGGGUUUGUUUAGAGUUUGCUCUCCUAGGCAUAUUGCCUACCACGGUUAUGGAGCCCCACUGCUCAGCUUUCUAGCCGGAAGAUCUCGGGCACCUCCGUCGGGGCCCAGGGGGACGCAUAGGUGCCCUGCGGGGAGCCCUCCACUCCUGCCACGCUCGCCAGGGAGACCAUGGGCUCGCUGGCGCUCCCCCUCCCCGCAAAGGCGAGGAGGGCGAAUGCAAGAACUCGCUUCUUAAAACUACCAGACUGGAUUAUGAAAUUAAUCAUAAGUACCGAAAAGUCGCUGAUCACCGCGUUUAUCGGUUCUGGGAUGGAAGGCCGACGGGCCUCAGGGACGCACACAAGCAUCCAAGGGAAUCCUCGCGACGGCUCGCGGCGCAGCGUCCGUUUCCCCUUCUUCUUACUUUCGAUAUUUCCUUUUUAUUAUGUUUUCCUUUUCUGAUUGAUUGACUGUUUGG